rnacentral:ncRNA from 1 species
AGAAUAAAAAAAAAUCUAGAAGCAUUCCAUAGUGUUCUUCAUAAAAGUUUGGUCCUUAUGAAUAAUAUGAAAGAGUUGUAUGUAGAAUGUUGAUUAACCAACUAUCCAGCUCCAUGUUCCAGGAGGGGAAUGCCUUUGAUAAGAUCUUGACCAACCCCAUGAUAAAUGAGAUAAUCUAGGGCUUUUACUGCCAUUUAAAAAAAGACUUUUGUUGGAUGGACCCUAAGUGUCCCAUAUCCUAUGAUUCACACUUGUUGAUAGGCACGAAGACUGAGGCUUUGCAGAGUGUCUUAGAAGCAUAGUGGAAAAAUUUCCCGAAGUCCAUGGCCUUGAUCAUGCCUAUAUUUGAGGGCCAUUCGAUCAUGUCAUAAGAUUUCCCAAAAAACAAUCUCAAUGAAGAGGGUGUUGAAAUCAAGGAAACAUUUGAGGGAAUUCCAUAACUUUUUCCCCUUCAAGCAAUAUCACAGACAACAUGCACUCCUUUUCCUCCUCUACAUCAAUCAUGUGAAAAUCCCUACAAACUAACGAAUGGAUUUCCAAUGAUUUGUCAAUAAUCCAUUUCUAUAAAAGGGAACAUUCAUCAUUAGACACAUAGAAGUUGGAUAAACCCAACAACCUUCCAUCCAAAGUUAACAAAAUUGAAACCCAUUUUUGAGAGUUGUUGGUGCCUCAUCCUAUAACUGACGACAACGUUAGGAAAUCUAGAGAGGUCGUCGGGGGCCCCGGGAAGAGUUAUCUUUUCUUUUUAACAACUUGCCCACCCUGAAAUCGGCUCAACCGGAGAUAGGGUCUAGCAGUUGGAAGAGCAUCGCACGUCUUGUGAUGUCCGGUGCGCCCUCGACGACCCUUGAAAAUCUGGAGGACCGAGUAUCAUCCAUGCCUGAUCGUACUCAUAACCACAUCGGAUCUCCAAGGUGAACAACCUCUAGUCAAUAGAACAAUGUAGGUAAGGGAACUCGACAAAACAUAUCCGUAAUUUCGGGAAAAGGAUUGGCUUUGAGGGCUGGGCCUAGGGGUCUGUGUCCUCAACCCAUGGGUUGUUGGUAGUCUGCCCAUGGGACUGUCAUUGAUUAAUGCUACCUCCUUUUGAAUGGUAGUGCAACUACUUCUUCUUUUAGCUUUUAGAAGUGCUUGGGGCAUUUAUCGAGGUGUAAUUUCCAACAGUCUUGGUGUGUCACUUUCUCUCACAAGACUUGUAAUACAUGGUGGGACGUGUUGUUUCUUACGUCAUUGCUACAAUCUUCUUCGCAACCCACUUCUUAUUCUUCCCAUAAAUGACACCUUGAACCACCACAAAUGACCUCUCGAAGGCAUCCUUUUCCAAUUAGGUAUAUAGUUAACAAUAACAUUCUUGAGCACUAGGUAUGGGUCUCGGGGCCUUGACAUGGUCAAGGGAGGAAACAUGAAAUUUAGGCCUUAAAGGAAGCUUUCAACGAGCCAGGGCCAAUAAG